UAGGGAAUCUUCGGCAAUGGGGGCAACCCUGACCGAGCAACGCCGCGUGAGUGAAGAAGGUUUUCGGAUCGUAAAGCUCUGUUGUAAGAGAAGAACGUGUGUGAGAGUGGAAAGUUCACACAGUGACGGUAACUUACCAGAAAGGGACGGCUAACUACGUGCCAGCAGCCGCGGUAAUACGUAGGUCCCGAGCGUUGUCCGGAUUUAUUGGGCGUAAAGCGAGCGCAGGCGGUUUAAUAAGUCUGAAGUUAAAGGCAGUGGCUUAACCAUUGUUCGCUUUGGAAACUGUUAAACUUGAGUGCAGAAGGGGAGAGUGGAAUUCCAUGUGUAGCGGUGAAAUGCGUAGAUAUAUGGAGGAACACCGGUGGCGAAAGCGGCUCUCUGGUCUGUAACUGACGCUGAGGCUCGAAAGCGUGAGGAGCAAACAGG
rnacentral:rRNA from 1 species